AGUGAACGCUGGCGGUAGGCCUAACACAUGCAAGUCGAACGGCAGCACAGUAAGAGCUUGCUCUUACGGGUGGCGAGUGGCGGACGGGUGAGGAAUACAUCGGAAUCUACUUUUUCGUGGGGGAUAACGUAGGGAAACUUACGCUAAUACCGCAUACGACCUACGGGUGAAAGCAGGGGAUCUUCGGACCUUGCGCGGUUGAAUGAGCCGAUGUCGGAUUAGCUAGUUGGCGGGGUAAAGGCCCACCAAGGCGACGAUCCGUAGCUGGUCUGAGAGGAUGAUCAGCCACACUGGAACGGAGACACGGACCAGACGCCUACGGGAGGCAGCAGUGGGGAAUAUUGGACAAUGGGCGCAAGCCUGAUCCAGCCAGACCGCGUGGGUGAAGAAGGCCUUCGGGUUGUAAAGCCCUUUUGUUGGGAAAGAAAAGCAGCAGGUUAAUACCCCGCUGUUCUGACGGUACCCAAAGAAUAAGCACCGGCUAACUUCGUG
rnacentral:rRNA from 1 species